rnacentral:rRNA from 1 species
CCUACGGGAGGCAGCAGUGGGGAAUCUUGCGCAAUGGGCGAAAGCCUGACGCAGCAACGCCGCGUGCGGGAAGAAGGCUCUCGGGUUGUAAACCGCUUUCAGCAGGAACGAAAAUGACGGUACUUGCAGAAGAAGGUGCGGCCAACUACGUGCCAGCAGCCGCGGUGACACGUAGGCACCAAGCGUUGUCCGGAUUUAUUGGGCGUAAAGAGCUCGUAGGCGGUUCGGUAAGUCAGGUGUGAAAACUUUGGGCUCAACCCAAAGCCUGCAUCUGAUACUGCUGUGACUAGAGUUCGGUAGGGGAGCGGGGAAUUCCUAGUGUAGCGGUGAAAUGCGCAGAUAUUAGGAGGAACACCGGUGGCGAAGGCGCCGCUCUGGGCCGAAACUGACGCUGAGGAGCGAAAGCGUGGGUAGCAAACAGGAUUAGAUACCCUGGUAGUCCACGCCGUAAACGUUGGGCACUAGGUGUGGGUCUCAACCAACGAGAUCCGCGCCGUCGCUAACGCAUUAAGUGCCCGCCUGGGGNGUACGGCCGCGAGUAAACGUACAANAGAGUGNGGNGUGAGAGUGCGAGCGACGACGAGGGAGAGG